CGGGGGAACUCCCAGACCAGC
rnacentral:miRNA from 1 species